rnacentral:rRNA from 1 species
UACGUAGGUGACCAGCGUUGUCCGGAUUUACUGGGCGUAAAGAGCGCGCAGGCGGUCGUUCAAGUCGAGUGUGAAAGCCCCCGGCUCAACUGGGGAGGGUCACUCGAUACUGAUCGACUUGAAGGCAGGAGGGGGAAGCGGAAUUCCCGGUGUAGUGGUGAAAUGUGUAGAUAUCGGGAGGAACACCAGUGGCGAAGGCGGCUCUCUGGGACGGUACUGACGCUGAGACGCGAAAGCGUGGGGAGCGAACAGG